rnacentral:rRNA from 1 species
CGAAAACGAAUUCUCUCUUGAGUGGAUCCUGAGUACGACGGAGCACGUGAAAUUCCGUCGGAAUCUGGGAGGACCAUCUCCUAAGGCUAAAUACUCUCUAGUGACCGAUAGUGAACCAGUACCGUGAGGGAAAGGUGAAAAGUACCCCGGAAGGGGAGUGAAAGAGAACUUGAAACCGUGUGCUUACAAGUAGUCAGAGCCCGUUAAUGGGUGAUGGCGUGCCUUUUGUAGAAUGAACCGGCGAGUUACGAUCUGAUGCAAGGUUAAGCAGAAAAUGUGGAGCCGUAGCGAAAGCGAGUCUGAAUAGGGCGAAUGAGUAUUUGGUCGUAGACCCGAAACCAGGUGAUCUACCCUUGGUCAGGUUGAAGUUCAGGUAACACUGAAUGGAGGACCGAACCGACUUACGUUGAAAAGUGAGCGGAUGAACUGAGGGUAGCGGAGAAAUUCCAAUCGAACUUGGAGAUAGCUGGUUCUCUCCGAAAUAGCUUUAGGGCUAGCCUCAAGUGAUGAUUAUUGGAGGUAGAGCACUGUUUGGACGAGGGGCCCCUCUCGGGUUACCGAAUUCAGACAAACUCCGAAUGCCAAAUAAUUUAACUUGGGAGUCAGAAUGUGGGUGAUAAGGUCCAUAUUCGAAAGGGAAACAGCCCAGACCACCAGCUAAGGUCCCAAAAUAUAUGUUAAGUGGAAAAGGAUGUGGCGUUGCCCAGACAACUAGGAUGUUGGCUUAGAAGCAGCCAUCAUUUAAAGAGUGCGUAAUAGCUCACUAGUCGAGUGACACUGCGCCGAAAAUGUACCGGGGCUAAACAUAUUACCGAAGCUGUGGAUUGUCCAUUGGACAAUGGUAGGAGAGCGUUCUAAGGGCGUUGAAGCAUGAUCGCAAGGACAUGUGGAGCGCUUAGAAGUGAGAAUGCCGGUGUGAGUAGCGAAAGACGGGUGAGAAUCCCGUCCACCGAUUGACUAAGGUUUCCAGAGGAAGGCUCGUCCGCUCUGGGUUAGUCGGGUCCUAAGCUGAGGCCGACAGGCGUAGGCGAUGGAUAACAGGUUGAUAUUCCUGUACCACCAUGAUUCGUUUUAAGCGAUGGGGGGACGCAGUAGGAUAGGCGAAGCGUGCUGUUGGAGUGCACGUCCAAGCAGUGAGAU